rnacentral:rRNA from 1 species
UACAGAGGUCUCAAGCGUUGUUCGGAUUCAUUGGGCGUAAAGGGUGCGUAGGCGGCGCGGUAAGUCGGGUGUGAAAUCUCGGAGCUUAACUCCGAAACUGCACUUGAUACUGCCGUGCUUGAGGACUGGAGAGGAGACUGGAAUUUACGGUGUAGCGGUGAAAUGCGUAGAUAUCGUAAGGAAGACCAGUGGCGAAGGCGGGUCUCUGGACAGUUCCUGACGCUGAGGCACGAAGGCCAGGGGAGCAAACGGG